ACAACAUUCGGACCGUUGGUCUACAGAGCAUUAUCACCCGCUCGGUGGAAGAUCUUCCCUUCGUCAU
rnacentral:pre_miRNA from 1 species